GGGUGAUUAGCUCAGCUGGGAGAGCACCUCCCUUACAAGGAGGGGGUCGGCGGUUCGAUCCCGUCAUCACACACCA
rnacentral:tRNA from 5 species